UUUCAUAAGCGAACACAGAAAGAUGUGCCUGAUAAGCUGGUUUUCAUUGAUGGUGGAGCAAUCAGCAACUGAGAAUGUAGGUAGUCCACCUCUGUUCCCUUGAUAGUUCUCUGUGUCAGAAAUAUAGCAUGAUCUUAUAUUCUUACACGUUUUAGGAAAAUGUACAGUCAUACUUUUAAAUAAUCUUUAAGUUGAUAAAAUUAUCACUUUCCAAUUUUGCAUAUUUUCAACUUUAAAUUAGCCACAGAUUCACUUACUUUUAAUACAUAUAUUUGAUUUAAUAUUUAAAGUAGUUAUUGGCCAGGCACAGUGGCUCAUGAUCCUGUAAUCCCAGCAUUUUGGGAGGAUCACCUGAGCCCAAGAGUUCAAGACCAGCGUCAGCAACUUAGACCCAUCUCUACCAAAAAGACCCCAAAAAACCUGGGUGUGGUGGUUACUGCCUAUAGUCCCAGCUUCUUGGGAGGCUGAGGUAGGAGGAUUGCUUGAGCCCGGGAGUUUGAGGCUGCAGUGAGCCAUGAUUGCACCACCACACUCCAACCUGGACAACAGAGCAAGACUGUGUCUCAAAAAAAAAAAAAAAAAAGAAGAUAUAUUCUGAACAUGAAUAAAUAUACUAAGAUUGUACAUAUUUUUAACAGCACUCAACUAUGACAUCAACAUUGAGGAGACUGGGUGAAGACAUUUUUAAAGGAGUGGUAACUAAAGGAAUUCAGGAUAGUUCACCACAGCAUUCUAUGGAGAAUAAACCAAAGACAGCUGCUUUCUUUAAGAGCUCCAAUUUGCCACUGAGACUUUUAUCAACCUUAAUUGUUCUCAAAACAGUCACUCAAGCUGAUUACCUGGCUCAGGCAUUUGAUUCUCUUUGUUUGGACUUGAAGACAGAAGAAGGAAAAACCUUGUUUUUGGAGUAUCAAGCUGUUCCAGUAAUAUUAAGUCAUCUAAGAAUAUCCAGUAAAGGACUCCUGUCUAAUGUUAUUGACAGUUUGCUCCAGAUGACGGUGGAAUCUAAAUCCUUGCAGCCUUUCUUGGAAGCCUGUAGCAACUCUUCAUUUUUUCGUACUUGCUCUGUGCUGCUUCGAGCCCCUAAGCUUGAUCUUCAAAUACUAGAAAAACUCAGUAUUAUUUUACAGAAACUUUCCAAAAUCAAGAGUAAUAAGAAGCUCUUUGAACUUUUACAAUUCAUCUGA
rnacentral:lncRNA from 1 species